rnacentral:tRNA from 1 species
AUUGGAAUGAACGGCAGGUGGCGUUGGAGCCCUGGCAUGCCUCCAGCAACUUCCGCUUGCGGUUCCGACUGAGUUCCGAUG